rnacentral:rRNA from 1 species
UGCCUACGGGGGGCAGCAGUGGGGGAUAUUGCACAAUGGGGGGAACCCUGACGCAGCGACGCCGCGUGGGUGAAGAAGCGCCUCGGCGCGUAAAGCCCUGUCAGCAGGGAAGAAAAUGACGGUACCUGAAGAAGAAGCCCCGGCUAACUACGUGCCAGCAGCCGCGGUAAUACGUAGGGGGCAAGCGUUAUCCGGAUUUACUGGGUGUAAAGGGAGCGUAGACGGUUAUGUAAGUCUGGAGUGAAAGCCCGGGGCCCAACCCCGGGACUGCUUUGGAAACUGUGUAACUGGAGUACAGGAGGGGC